CCCGCAAAGCCAAUCCAAUUUGCUAAUGCAUUAAGUUUGUCCUAGUGCUAUCAGAUUUGUGAAUGGCCUGCACUAUUUGCUCGACUGGAAGUGCUGAACAUUUCUGGGAAAUGGGAACCGUCUUACUGAUGCAUGUGGGUGUUAUCUUUCAACAAUAUUAGUGUACAGCUCUCUGUAGCUUGAAUGUGGAGAACUGUCAUAUCACGACCAGAACUAUCCAGAAGAUUGGUGAUGCAUUGGACUCUAACUCUGCACUUGCUCAGCUUUGUAUAGGUAUAUCAUGAAUCUAACAUGUAUUUCCGAAUUCCCGAGAUAAGCUAUUUUGUUUAAUGGCAAGUCCAUCUUUGACAGCAUACAAUAGUCCUGUAGCUGGAAAUGCUAGUUAAUCUUCUCGACAAGCUUUCUACAAUGAAAAGGUAGAUCAAAUUAGAUUUAGAUGCACGGUACAACCUAGGUAGCAUUUUUUUAAAAUUGCAUUAUUUUGAUAUACAGAAAUAAAUCAAAUUAAAUUGCAUUUGUUCACUAAAGGUUUUCUGAGCUGAAAUUUGAGUGGUCUAAAACUGGGCAAACCAGCUGUUGAUUCCUUGUGCAAGCUUGCUGGGAAUACAAAUUUGUCAGGACCGAUGCUCGGAAGCACGGGUGUUGGAACUGUGAGUGGAAUUGAUUUCUUGCUGUUUGCUCGUGUCUUUGUUGGUUAUUGAUAUACUCGAUACCUGCAAACGCCAGCAUGCAUAUCUAAUUUUGUUUGGAGAGGGAUUUUUUUUGCAGGAAGGGGCAAUACAAUUAGCAGAAUCAUUGUCCAGAGGGACUCGAGCUUGUGAAACUUGAUCUAUCAGAUUGUCAAGUCAUAUUUAAUUUUGUUGCAAACUCCAGUUUUAAUUUAUUCUGUUCCGUGCUUGAGCUUAAUCUGGAAGGAAAUUCUAUUAAGCCAGAGGCUUGUUGCCUGUAGCUAGGGAUUUAUAUUACUAGUAUUCCUAGCAUGCACUUUUAUUUGUCCGGUUUUGUUUGCAUAUUAUCAUAUAUCGCUCUGACUUUCGGCAUUUUAGAAUGUAGGUGCUCUUACAAUUUCUUUACCAGUUGAAUUUUAUUGGCAUGUGUGCGUAGCAAGUUCUGACAUCUAUAAUAAAUACAGGGAAGCAAUUCUCUUGCUUCUCUUCUCAUGAAACCACAGUGCUGCCUAAAAGUUUUGGACCUUAGAAAGUGUCAACUUGGGCUUGCCGGGAUACUUCGCAUGACGAAGGCGCUAGCAGGUAGACAAUACGCCAAGAGAACAUAUCUGGGACUCGUGAGGAGAAUUUACCCAUGAUAGUGGAAGAUAGUGAAGAGCCCCUUUGCGUUCUUAACACUGACUAUCAUAUGCCUGAAGUUGUUGACAGUGAAGAUGGUCCGGUUAAUUCGGAUGCUAAUGGAAUUGAUGACAGUGGUGCUAAUUCGGAUCAAAGAAAUUCUCCAUCCCCUGAGUGCAAAUUCAUUCCGCAACUUUCAACUGCUAUGGCUAUGGCAAAACAGUUGCAAUGGCUUGACAUUAGCGAUAAUGGUUUCUCUGCCGAAUCUGCGGAAACAUUUUAUAGUUCUUGGUCAUCAACAUUACGAGCCGUUUCAAGUCAGAAGCAUAUUAGAGAGAGCAUUGUUCAUCUCUCAACCAAAGAAAAUAAGUGCUGCAGGGUGAAACCAUGCUGCAAGAACGAUUGAUUUCGUUGCUCAUUUUAUUGGUUUGCAUAGGAGGCGUCGUAGUUCUAUGACAAAUUUUUGGAGCCAUUUAUAUGGAUCUUUUCCGGUUACUGCAUGUCAAUUGUAUCUUGUAAGGAAAUCCUCGGGUGCUCGAGUUAAGCAUUUCGCUGAAAAAACAUGUCUA